GGCAGCCUUGUCAAAUUCAGUGUGUUCUGAAAGUGGACUUCACUGGCCAAAAUGGCUGCCACAGUGACUGUAGUUCAUGGGCCCUGCCUCUGUGCAUUGUGGGAAGUAGGGAUAAAUGCGUACUACAGACACAU
ensembl:snoRNA small nucleolar RNA SNORA5